rnacentral:rRNA from 1 species
GACGGGCCCCGCACAAGCAGCGGAGCGUGUGGUUUAAUUCGAUGCUACACGAAGAACCUUACCAGGGUUUGACAUGCAAGUGGUAGGAAGCCGAAAGGUGACCGACCCUUCGGGGAGCUUGCACAGGUGCUGCAUGGCUGUCGUCAGCUCGUGUCGUGAGAUGUUCGGUUAAGUCCGCUAACGAGCGCAACCCUCGCUGUGUGUUAUAUGUGUCACACGGGACUGCCGGUCUUAAGCCGGAGGAAGGUGGGGAUGAUGUCAAGUCAGCAUGGCCUUUAUAUCCUGGGCUACACACACGCUACAAUGGCCAACACAAUAGGUUGCUAAGCCGCGAGGUGGCGCCAAUCCAUAAAGUUGGUCUCAGUUCAGAUUGUAGGCUGCAACCCGCCUGCAUGAAGAUGGAGUUGCUAGUAACCGCAGGUCAGCUAUACUGCGGUGAAUACGUUCCCGGGGCUU